rnacentral:rRNA from 1 species
UAGUCCACGCCGUAAACGAUGUCAACUAGCCGUCGGGCUCAUUAUAAGGGUUUGGUGGCGCAGCGUAACGCGAUAAGUUGACCGCCUGGGGAGUACGCCGGCAACGGUAAAACUCAAAGGAAUUGACGGGGGCCCGCACAAGCGGUGGAGCAUGUGGUUUAAUUCGAUGCAACGCGAAGAACCUUACUUACCCUUGACAUCCUCAGAACUUGUUAGAGAUAACUUGGUGCCACCUUUGGGUGGAACAGAGUGACAGGUGCUGCAUGGCUGUCGCCAGCUCGUGCUGUGAGGUGUUCGGUUAAGUCCGGCAACGAGCGCAACCCCUGCCGUUAGUUACCAGCAUUUAGUUGGGACUCUAGCGGGACUGCCGGUGAUAAACCGGAGGAAGGUGGGGACGACGUCAAGUCCUCAUGGCCCUUAUGUCUGGGGCUACACACGUGCUACAAUGGCAUCUACAGAGGGCAGCAAAGCCGCGAGGUGGAGCAAAUCCCACAAAAGAUGCCUCAGUUCGG